CAGUGAGGAAUUUUGCGCAAUGGGGGAAACCCUGACGCAGCAACGCCGCGUGAGUGAUGAAGGCUUUCGGGUCGUAAAGCUCUGUCAAGUGGGAAGAAUAUGCCCUGUGAUAAUACCAUGGGGCACUGACGGUACCACUGAAGGAAGCACCGGCUAACUCCGUGCCAGCAGCCGCGGUAAUACGGGGGGUGCAAGCGUUAUUCGGAAUCAUUGGGCGUAAAGGGCGCGUAGGCGGCCCCUUAAGUCAGAUGUGAAAGCCCUCAGCUUAACUGAGGAAGUGCAUUUGAAACUAAGGGGCUUGAGUAUGGGAGAGGGAAGCGGAAUUCCUGGUGUAGCGGUGAAAUGCGUAGAUAUCAGGAGGAACACCGGUGGCGAAGGCGGCUUCCUGGACCAAUACUGACGCUGAGGCGCGAAGGCGUGGGGAGCAAACAGGAUUAGA
rnacentral:rRNA from 1 species